UACGAAGGGGGCUAGCGUUGCUCGGAAUGACUGGGCGUAAAGGGCGCGUAGGCGGCACACACAGUCAGGCGUGAAAUUCCUGGGCUUAACCUGGGGGCUGCGUUUGAGACGUGUGAGCUAGAGGAUGGAAGAGGCUCGUGGAAUUCCCAGUGUAGAGGUGAAAUUCGUAGAUAUUGGGAAGAACACCGGUGGCGAAGGCGGCGAGCUGGUCCAUUACUGACGCUGAGGCACGAAAGCGUGGGGAGCAAACAGG
rnacentral:rRNA from 1 species